AGUCUGGUGCCAGCAGCCGCGGUAAUUCAGCUCUGAUAGUAUAUAUUAAAGUUGUUGCAGUUAAAAAGCUCGUAGUUGAAACUUGGGUGCGUAGGGGCGGUCUCUUUUAGAGUACUACCCUGAAACAUCUUUCUUUGGUGUAAACUCUUUAUUCACUUAAGGAGUGUAAACCAAACAUUUACUUUGAAAAAAUUAGAGUGUUCAAAGCAGGCCUUUGCUCGAAUAUAUUAGCAUGGAAUAAUAGAAUAGGACGUAUGGUUCUAUUUUGUUGGUUUCUAGGACCGUCGUAAUGAUUAAUAGGGACGGUCGGGGGCAUCAGUAUUCAGUUGUCAGAGGUGAAAUUCUUGGAUUUACUGAAGACUAACUACUGCGAAAGCAUUUGCCAAGGACGUUUUCAUUAAUCAAGAACGAAAGUUAGGGGAUCGAAGACGAUCAGAUACCGUCGUAGUCUUAACCGUAAACUAUGCCGACUAGGGAUCGGAGGGCGUUAUAAUAACCUCUCCGGCACCUUACGAGAAAUCAAAGUUUUUGGGUUCUGGGGGGAGUAUGGUUGCAAGGCUGAAACUUAAAGGAAUUGACGGAAGGGCACCACCAGGAGUGGAGCCUGCGGCUUAAUUUGACUCAACACGGGGAAACUCACCAGGUCCAGACACAAUAAGGAUUGACAGAUUGAGAGCUCUUUCAUGAUUUUGUGGGUGGUGGUGCAUGGCCGUUCUUAGUUGGUGGAGUGAUUUGUCUGCUUAAUUGCGAUAACGAACGAGACCUUAACCUGCUAAAUAGCUGUAACAAUAGAUUAUUGUUUUGACAGCUUCUUAGAGGGACUAUCGAUUUUCAAGUCGAUGGAAGUUUGAGGCAAUAACAGGUCUGUGAUGCCCUUAGACGUUCUGGGCCGCACGCGCGCUACACUGACGGAGCCAGCGAGUCUAACCUGUGCCGAGAGGUAUGGGUAAUCUUGUGAAACUCCGUCGUGCUGGGGAUAGAGCAUUGCAAUUAUUGCUCUUCAACGAGGAAUUCCUAGUAAGCGCAAGUCAUCAGCUUGCGUUGAUUACGUCCCUGCCCUUUGUACACACCGCCCGUCGCUACUACCGAUUGAAUGGCUUAGUGAGGCUUCCGGAUUGAUUAACUGGAGAGGGCAACUUUUCUGGUUGAACGAGAAGCUAGUCAAACUUGGUCAUUUAGA
rnacentral:rRNA from 1 species